CUGAAAUCGACUUAUGGACGUCCAGGAGUCGGA
rnacentral:sRNA from 1 species